rnacentral:rRNA from 1 species
CCUACGGGGUGCUGUAGUGAGGAAUAUUGGUCAAUGGACGGAAGUCUGAACCAGCCAUGCCGCGUGCAGGAAGACGGUUCUAUGAGUCGUAAACUGCUUUUGUACAAGGGUAAACCUGAAUACGUGUAUUCAGCUGAAAGUACUGUAUGAAUAAGGAUCGGCUAACUCCGUGCCAGCAGCCGCGGUAAUACGGAGGAUCCAAGCGUUAUCCGGAUUUAUUGGGUUUAAAGGGUGCGUAGGCGGAUUGAUAAGUUAGAGGUGAAAUGUCCGGGCUUAACUCGGGAACUGCCUCUAAUACUGUUGGGCUAGAGAAUAGAUGCGGUAGGCGGAAUGUAUGGUGUAGCGGUGAAAUGCUUAGAGAUCAUACAGAACACCGAUUGCGAAGGCAGCUUACCAAUCUAUAUCUGACGUUGAGGCACGAAAGCGUGGGGAGCAAACAGGAUUAGAUACCCUUGUAGUC